rnacentral:rRNA from 1 species
UGAACGCUAGCGGCAGGCUUAACACAUGCAAGUCGAGGGGUAGAAGUCUUCGGAUUUUGAGACCGGCGCACGGGUGCGUAACGCGUAUGCAAUCUACCUUUUACAGAGGGAUAGCCCAGAGAAAUUUGGAUUAAUACCUCAUAGUAUGCAGAGUUGGCAUCAGCACUGCAUUAAAGUCACAACGGUAAAAGAUGAGCAUGCGUCCCAUUAGCUAGUUGGUGGGGUAAAGGCCCACCAAGGCGACGAUCCGUAGCUGGUCUGAGAGGAUGAUCAGCCACACUGGAACUGAGACACGGUCCAGACUCCUACGGGAGGCAGCAGUGGGGAAUUUUGGACAAUGGGGGCAACCCUGAUCCAGCCAUUCCGCGUGAGUGAAGAAGGCCUUCGGGUUGUAAAGCUCUUUCGGACGGAACGAAAUGGUUAGGCCUAACACGCCUGACUGAUGACGGUACCGUAAGAAGAAGCACCGGCUAACUACGUGCCAGCAGCCGCGGUAAUACGUAGGGUGCGAGCGUUAAUCGGAAUUACUGGGCGUAAAGCGUGCGCAGGCGGCGGCUCAAGUCAGGUGUGAAAUCCCCGGGCUUAACCUGGGAAUUGCGCUUGAAACUAGGUCGCUAGAGUGUGGCAGAGGGGGGUGGAAUUCCACGUGUAGCAGUGAAAUGCGUAGAGAUGUGGAGGAACACCGAUGGCGAAGGCAGCCCCCUGGGUCAACACUGACGCUCAGGCACGAAAGCGUGGGGA